UGUGCAACAAAAAUCAAGAAGUUAGGGCGUGCAUGAAGAAUCAUGGGUAGUUUUCUUUCUUACCGUGUGACUUCUUCUCAAUGCCUCUCUUCCUCCUUUCCUCACCUCCACAUCUAUGAUCUGAUUAGAUCAAAUCUAGAGAGAGAAUAAAGAGAGUAAAAGAAGAGAAGAAAAGGUGUUUUCUUCCUCUUCUUGGUAGCAGGUUCAGAUCCCAUCAGAUCUACGUGAAAGGUUUUGCAUAGCAUUCAUCUUCUUUGAGUUCUAGAACACGAUUCAAAUCCAAAGUUAAGGAGCAAGGCCUGCA
rnacentral:lncRNA from 1 species